AAUCUGUAUUGUGUAAAGUGCUAUAUAAAUAAAUGUGACAGUAUUUACAAUUAGAACUUAAAAUAACCAGCACCGAUUAUUUUCAGUUUGGAAAGAAACCAAGAAAAUCCUCCUGGCAAUUGCAGCAUUUUAGUGGCAUUCAUGUAUGUGCAUCACAUAAAAAUGAGUGUACACACACACACACACACACACACACACACAACAAGUGGUAGAGUAUAGUACGCCGGCCGACCACUUACCCCCUUCCGUACGCGAUCCUCGUUUGUCUGCUCUCCUCGUGUACACACACACACACACACACACACACACACACAAAUGGUUGAGGAUUAGACAGGUGACAGCGUCCACGGCUGGAGACUGUAGAGGUGAUUUUGGGGUGUUUGGGUCUAAAGGAAUACUGCUGUGAAGCCCAAUGAUGGGGUGCUGCCUUUUCAUCCAUCAGAAGAAGAAGAGGAAGCAGAGGAAGAGAGAUGUGGAUUCGCUCAGUCUGUGCAGCUUGGACAUCAAUGUGAGUUACAUAAAUGUGUGUGUAGACCUACAGUACACAUAAUGCACUGCACUGUGGGUAGACCUACAGUACACAUAAUGCACUGCACUGUGGGAAGAAAACAUCAAUUACUCUGCACUAUCCAUCAGAGAGUGCUGCAGGGAUGGGGUUUUGUUCUUGUUUUUUUGUAGGCCACAACCCAAAAUCAAGUUUGUACAGUAUUUUAGCACUUCAUGUUUCAUUGUCCUCAAGUCAAAUUUAAUUUUUUUAGGCUAAAUGCCUGAAAGAAGGUCUGUGGUUAAUGCAAGCUCAAGAUAUUUUCAUGUUUUAUUCUAUGAUAUAAAAGACAUGAGUAAUAUAAGUAAAGACUGUAUGAAGCUUAGUUAUGGUGAUGUUGAGGUUAUGUGACCAUGGUGUAGUUUAUUUAUUGAGUCUUAUAUUUAGCUUUUUACUUCUGCUGACUGUAUUUAGGCUUUGAAAAUACAUCACUGCAGCUCUCUAGCCUCUUGGUACCUGGAAUUACUGAUAAUCAUAAAAUUGCAUGAAUAGAGGAUCAGAAUACCUCAGACUGAUUUAGACGAGCAGUUCUUCUAUCUUCUGUUACUUUAAUAUUACAUGAAAUAUUAUUAUAUAAAAAAUAUAUAUAUUACAUUCUGCCGUCGUCUGUUUGUAGAUAAUUGAGCCAAAGGUAAGACCUGUUGCAACUGAAAUUAGACGAGCAGUUCUUCUAUCUUCUGUUACUUUAAUAUUACAUGAAAAUAUUAUUAUAUAAAAAAUAUAUAUAUUACAUUCUGCCGUCGUCUGUUUGAGAUAAUGAGCCAAAGGAAGCCUGUGCAACUGAAAUGAAAAGCAUUGAUUACAAAAGCUCUUUAUGUCGUUGAAGGGUAUCAGUGAAGAGGAAAAUUACUUAAAUUUUCUUAAAGGUCAGCUUUCUGCAGGCCGCAGUCUGGCUUGCUAAUGCACAGAAAUAAAAGGCAUGUAAUUGAAAGGUAUUAAUAGAAGUGUAUGAUUGCAUGUUUUUGCUCUUGUGGCUGCUGCGAGAUGUGACUGCAGAGCUCAGAGAGGAAUACAACUGCUCUGCCUGAAAAUGACAGCACACAUGUCUCUGAAAUCUGCUGUUUGAGGAGUGUGCUGUAAUGUGUUUAUACGCACAAGAGCUUUACCUUCAUUUACACUCUUAGAUAUAAAGGAUUCAAAAGGGGGGGUUUACAGUAAAGUCAUAGAAGAAUUUUGGUUUGGCAUUCAGAACUGUUCAGUGUGAAAAACAUUUCAAUAAUCUAAACAAACGUUC
rnacentral:lncRNA from 1 species